AUGUCGGAGCAGGGAGGUAGGCGGCCGGCCAAGGCAGCAGCUGAGAGCGGUCGCUCUGCAGGCCUCCCCUCCUCCGGCCACGCUCCCCGCCCGGGCGCUGUCUGCUUGCUCCUGCCACCAGUGCGCAGCAGAGCCUGGCUCCUCAGUCCUCUCCGCUCUCUCACCCGCACCGCCGCGGCUCCUUUGAUUUCAGACUCGGGGAAUUCGAAGGUCUUCCCCGCGCCCACUGUCCCUGUGCCAGCAGAGAAGGGCUCUGUGGAGGCCAGGGGACCCACCUCCCCCGCCACCAGCCACACAGAGAGCCCAAGCUGCAGCUGCAACCCCCAAUUCUACCUGCUGCACCCGCCCCUGCAGGGCCUGUGGUUCCGGAAGGAGGCCAACUUCACCUGCCUCGUGGUCGGGGAGGACCUGGUGGACGCCCGCCUCUCCUGGGAGGUGGCCGGGAAGGUCGCCACCAGUGACGUGAAGCAGCAGUCUCUGGAGCGACUGGCCAACGGGUCCCAGAGCCAGAGCAGUCACCUGGUCCUGCCUAGGUCCACCUGGGAGGAGGGGAGCAACGUCAGCUGCAUCCUGACGCUUCCCUGCCUCGCAUCCCCGCGGGAGCUGACAGCAGCGAAGGAGCAGGGGGCCCGGGCGCCCAUCAUCCUCUCCGUCAGCCUGCUGACUACACCGGCCCCUCUGGAGACAGCUUCGUGGCUCCUGUGCGAGGUGUCAGGCUUCUCCCCCCACCACGUCCUCCUGAUGUGGCUGGAGGGCCAGCAGGAGGUGGGCCCUGACCGGUUUGCCUCUGCCGAACCUGGGCCUCAAUCCGGGAGCACCAUGUUCCAAACCUGGAGCGCCCUGCGCAUCCCCCACCUCCUCAGCCCUUCCCCGGCCACCUACACCUGUGUGGUCAAGCAUGAGGCCUCCCGCACCAUGGCCAACGCCAGCAGCAGCCUGGGCGCCAAGGAGCUGGCCACCACCCUGCUGCUGGCCCCACAGAGCCAGGACCAGAACAGUGACGACUACACAGAGCUGGACAAGGAGAGCAGCCUGUGGACCAUGCUGGGCACCUUCGUGGCCCUGUUCCUCCUCACACUGCUCUACAGCGGCUUUGUCACCUUCAUCAAGGUAGCCGGUGAAGUGACCCCAAGUCGCAAGACUUCCUGUUCCUCCAGAACUGGAUGUAGAAGAGGUCUGUGAAGAUGACCUGUCCUGGACGCCCUCCACGCAGGGACAGACCCCAGCCCUCCCUCCCAGCUUCACAGGCAGAUCCGUGGGGUUUCCCAGCUGGGGGGGGCAGCGUGUUCUGCUGGCCUGGCUGGCUGGCACUGCCCCUGCCCCCUGCCCCCUUGACAGUUGUCCUUGCCGCCACCCUGUAAACACACUUUGGUUCA